rnacentral:hammerhead_ribozyme from 1 species
AUCCAGUAGACGAAUCCCAAAUAGGAUGAAACUUGUGUCAAACUGGAU